AGUGAACGCUGGCGGUAGGCCUAACACAUGCAAGUCGAACGGCAGCACAGUAAGAGCUUGCUCUUACGGGUGGCGAGUGGCUGACGGGUGAGGAAUACAUCGGAAUCUACUUUUUCGUGGGGGAUAACGUAGGGAAACUUACGCUAAUACCGCAUACGACCUACGGGUGAAAGCAGGGGAUCUUCGGACCUUGCGCGAUUGAAUGAGCCGAUGUCGGAUUAGCUAGUUGGCGGGGUAAAGGCCCACCAAGGCGACGAUCCGUAGCUGGUCUGAGAGGAUGAUCAGACACACUGGAACUGAGACACGGUCCAGACUCCUACGGGAGGCAGCAGUGGGGAAUAUUGGACAAUGGGCGCAAGCCUGAUCCAGCCAUACCGCGUGGGUGAAGAAGGCCUUCGGGUUGUAAAGCCCUUUUGUUGGGAAAGAAAAGCAGCAGGUUAAUACCCCGCUGUUCUGACGGUACCCAAAGAAUAAGCACCGGCUAACUUCGUG
rnacentral:rRNA from 1 species